GGCAAAAGAGAGCUUGAUUGCAAGACAUACAGGUCGAGCAAGGAUGAAAAUCGGACUUAGUGAUCCGGUGGUUCUGCGUGGAAGGGCCAUCGCUCAACGGAUAAAAGCUACCCUGGGGAUAACAGGCUUAUCUCCCCCAAGAGUCCACAUCGACGGGGAGGUUUGGCACCUCGAUGUCGGCUCAUCACAUCCUGGGGCUGUAGUAGGUCCCAAGGGUUGGGCUGUUCGCCCAUUAAAGUGGUACGCGAGCUGGGUUCAGAACGUCGGGAGACAGUUCGGUCCCUAUCCGUCGCAGGCGUAGGAAAUUUGAGAAGACCUGUCCUUAGUACGAGAGGACCGGGAUGGACGUACCUCUGGUGUACCAGUUGUUCUGCCAAGGGCAUGGCUGGGUAGC
rnacentral:rRNA from 1 species